GAAAUGCGAUACGUAGUGUGAAUUGCAGACUCCAGUGAAUCAUCGAAUCUUUGAACGCACAUUGCGCCCACUGGUAUUCCGGUGGGCAUGCCUGUCUGAGCGUCAGUAUAAUCUCAAGCUAACCCUUGGUAUUGGAGGAUGAUCUGCCUAGCAGUUCACUUCUUAAACUGAUUGGCAAGUUUACAUAGCAGCAAGCGUAGUAGAAAUACAACAAGCUUAGUUACUGUGUUUGGCUUUGUCAAAAUCAAACUAUUUUUAAGGUUUGACCUCAGAUCAGGUAAGGAUACCCCCUGAACUUAA
rnacentral:misc_RNA from 1 species